rnacentral:misc_RNA from 1 species
AAGUCGUAACAAGGUUUCCGUAGGUGAACCUGUGGAAGGAUCAUUACAGAGAACCUGCCCUCCGGGGUAGAUCUCCCACCCUUUGCUUACCUUACCUUUGUUGCUUUGGCAGGCCCGUCCCCCGGGACCGCCGGCUCCGGCUGGCCAGCGCCUGUCAGAGGACCCCCAACUCUUGUUUAAUUGUCGUCUGAGUACUAUAUAAUAAGUUAAAA